UCUUAAUGGCAAACCUGCACCCCCACCUCAGAGCCAGAGCCCAGAAGUGGAGCAGUUAGGGAGGGUUGUGGAGCUGGACAGCGACAUGGUAGAUAUCACGCAGGAGCCAGUUCCGGAUUCGGUGUUAGAAGAGAGUGUACCUGAGGAUCAGGAGCCCGUGUCCGCAUCAACACAGAUCGCGUCUUCACUGGGAAUUAAUCCACAUGUGUUACAGAUCAUGAAAGCAUCCUUGCUUGUGGAUGAAGAAGACGUAGAUGCCAUGGAGCAGCGCUUCGGUCACUUCCCUUCCAGAGGAGACACUGCUCAGGAGAUCUGCUCCCCUAGACUCCCCAUUUCAGCCUCCCACUCCUCAAAAUCCCGCUCCAUAG
rnacentral:lncRNA from 1 species